CCAGAGUCCAAAUUUAUUUUCAUCAUGUUUUGAAGGACAUAGAAAAGUGCCAGAGAAGCGUGAGUGGCAGCUGCCUGAAGGGUGAAGAAAUUGAAGAGGGAAGAAGUAUUGCCUUGUUUCUCCAGGCACUGACUUUCACAGUGAUAGCCACUGGUAUUCUCCUAAUAAUCUGUACUUCCUUGAUUCCUGAGACAAUCCUGAACAAGGACUAUGAAAAAUGGCUGAGUUCCCUCUUCCUGAGUCUGAAAUUAAUGACUGGAAACAUUAUCAACAAGUGAAAAGGCUUACUGCCUCCUGAAAUACAUUUUUGUAUCCUCUAAAGAUUGGAACUGCAACCGUGACUUUUUUCCUGCCGAGAAAAACCUACUAGUAAUGACUAUAUAAACAUCCUGGUAAGUACUUUCUAGGGAAGGUUUUCUAAGAGAAUUCCCGUUUGAGAUUUACAUGGAGCACAAAUUGAUAGAGAUUUACAAGGCAGUUACGAUUUAGCGCUUUUGACUUGAAAGAAGAAAAUAGUAUUUUUUUGUUUUGUUUUACCCAUUGCCUGUUUUCUCUUGGUUCCUUGUUUCUCUUAAAAAAUCA
rnacentral:lncRNA from 1 species